rnacentral:rRNA from 1 species
AUGGCGACGCAGGCGGAGCCCGCCGCGCCGCCGCGCCGCCUCCUCGGCCCUCCCGUCAUCCGCACCGCCCGCCCGUCGCCCGCCUCCGCCGCCGACGCCGACGCCGCCGCGGCCGCGUCGCACCCCUUCCUCGACCUCCUCGACGCGUCCUUCAACGCGCCGUCCGCCGCGGAGGCCAAGGCCGCGCUCAGGCCGCGGAGGGCGCUCACGGAGAACUGCUCCGCCACGUACGCCAACUCGGGCAACCCCUGCCUCGACCUCUUCUUCCAGGUGGUGCCCGACACGCCGCCCGAGCGCGUGCGCCAGCUGCUCGCCGCCGCGUGGGCGCACGACGCGCUCACGGCGCUCAAGCUCGCCUGCAACCUCCGCGGCGUCCGCGGCACCGGCAAGUCGGACAAGGAGGGCUUCUACGCGGCCGCGCUCUGGCUGCACGACAACCACCCGCGCACGCUCGCCUGCAACGUCGCCGCGCUCGCCGAGUUCGGGUACCUCAAGGACUUCCCCGAGCUGCUCUUCCGCCUCAUCCACGGCCCCGACGUGCGCAAGGUCGCCAGGGAGGGCGCCGCGGCCGAGAAGGUGAGGAGGAAGGAGAAGAACUUCGCCAAGCAGCGGGAGGCCUUGCGGGCUAGCCUGGCCGGCCGCAAGCGCGCCCGCGAGCUGGCCCCUGUGCCUCCCAAGGCCACCUUCGGCGACUUCCUCUCCGCCGCCCUCUCCAAGUCCGGCAGGAAGCCCAUGGAGGUGGAGACCGUCCCUGUGUCUGUCGCGGUCCAGGAGCCGGCCGAGCAGAAGCCCGAGGAGAUGGAGGUGGACCAGAAGAAGAAGAAGCCCCGGCGGAUGUCCAAGAAGGUCCGGAAGGUGGCCAAGCUCGCCGUGCAGUCGCUGGAGACGUACUACGGCGACCGCGCGUACCGCUUCCUGUUCGAGGCCGUCGCGGACUUCUUCGCCGCCCUCCUCGCCUCGGACCUCGAGCAGCUGGCCACCGGCGGCAAGAAGAGGAAGAUCGGGCUCGCCGCCAAGUGGUGCCCCACGCCCGGCUCGUCCUUCGACCGCACCACGCUGCUCUGCGAGGCCAUCGCCCACCGCCUCUUCCCGCGCGACUCCGACCCAGAGUACGCCCAGCUCACGGACGAGCACUACACGUACCGCGCCCUCCACCGCCUCCGCCGCGAGGUGCUCGUGCCACUGCGCAAGGUGCUGGAGCUCCCGGAGGUGUACAUGAGCGCACAGCGGUGGUCGGAGCUUCCCUACACCCGCGUGGCCUCGGUGGCCAUGCGGCGCUACAAGUUCCUCUUCAAGAAGCACGAUGAGGAGCGCUUCGACAAGUACCUGGAGGACGUGGAGGCCGGCAAGGCCAAGAUCUCGGCGGGCGCGCUCCUGCCGCACGAGAUCGCCGCCUCCGCCUUAAGUGGCGUGGAGGACGACGUGUCGGAGCUGCAGUGGCGCCGCAUGGUAGACGACCUGCGCUCCAAGGGGGCGCUGCGCAACUGCAUCUCCGUCUGCGAUGUCUCCGGCAGCAUGGACGGCACCCCUAUGCAUGUGUGCAUCGCGCUGGGCGUGCUCACGUCGGAGCUCAGCGAGGAGCCCUGGGCAGGCAAGGUGAUCACCUUCAGCCAGAGGCCCGAGAUCCACCUGAUCAAGGGCAAGACCCUUCGGGAGAAGAUGAGUUUCGUGGAGACUAUGCAGUGGGACAUGAACACCAACUUCCAGGCGGUGUUCGACCAGAUCCUCCGCACUGCGGUGGAGGCCCGGCUGGCGCCGGAGAAGAUGAUCAGGACCAUUUUCGUGUACAGUGACAUGGAGUUCGACGAGGCGUCGGCGACCGGCGGGUACUAUGCUCGCAGCAGUUCGUGGGACACGGACUACGAGGUGAUCUGCAAGAAGUUCAGGGCUGCCGGGUACGGCGACGCGGUGCCCCAGAUCAUCUUCUGGAACCUGCGUGACUCGAAGUCGACGCCAGUGACCUCGACCCAGCCUGGGGUGGCCAUGGUGAGCGGCUUCUCCAAGAACCUCCUCAAGAUCUUCCUGAAGAACGACGGCGUGGUGAACCCCGAGGCCGUCAUGAUGGAGGCCAUCGCCGGCGAGGAGUACCAGAAGCUGGAGGUGUUCGAUUAG